GGCGGCACAUUUCAAUGAUUCUUCAAGUGAUACUAUAUAUAUUUCUCACUUUUAUCGGCAACUUUCUCUGCCAUACGUUCGUUGCUUCGUUUGUUUUUGGUCGGGUGUUCCCCCAAAAGCCCAGGGAUACCCUGCUAAAACCAAACGAGGUGUUUUAUUGGGCUUGAACGUAUGCCAGAGAAAGUUCUUUCCCACAUUUUAAGUUCCUCAAAAGCAAAGGAAUCUCUGUACUUUAACAAAUUUUGUCAUAGCUAAAACCUGUACUUAUCGAAAUGCAAAAUGUUUCUCUUGGUUGGUAAUCAUACAAAACUGUAUUAUUACCAGCUAAAGAUUGAACAUUUAAACAAUUCCGAAUACGCCAUGACAAAAGCGUUGGCUUGUUUCGACAUUUGGACAUUCUUUCUACAAGAAAUGUCAGCAAAUUGUCUGCCAAGACAAACCAAACAUUUGUUUCGUUCUAGGAUUCUUUUACUGAAUUAUUUAUAUUAUAUCAUAUAUUUAUAUCCUAAGUUUCCAUUUGAAUAUCACUUCAAGUUGCAUUGAAAUCUGCUUAGCU
rfam:D.pseudoobscura bcd (bicoid) gene involved in anterior positional specification during embryogenesis